GACGAACGCUGGCGGCGUGCUUAACACAUGCAAGUCGAGCGGGAUAUGAGAAGCUUGCUUCUCAUAUCUAGCGGCGGACGGGUGAGUAACGCGUGAGCAAUCUGCCUUAUUCAACGGGAUAACACUUCGAAAUAGGUGCUAAUACCGUAUAAGACCACUUUUUGGCAUCAAAGAGAGGUAAAAGGAGCAAUCCGGAAUAAGAUGAGCUCGCGUCCCAUUAGCUUGUUGGUGAGGUAACGGCUCACCAAGGCAACGAUGGGUAGCCGACCUGAGAGGGUGAUCGGCCACAUUGGAACUGAGACACGGUCCAAACUCCUACGGGAGGCAGCAGUGGGGAAUAUUGGGCAAUGGGCGCAAGCCUGACCCAGCAACGCCGCGUGAAGGAAGAAGGUUUUCGGAUUGUAAACUUCUGUCGCGAGGGACGAAGAAUGACGGUACCUCGUAAGAAAGCCCCGGCUAACUACGUGCCAGCCGCCGCGGUAAUAC
rnacentral:rRNA from 1 species